UGUGAAACCAGGUGCUGCAGGUCGGCGUCUCUGGGAUCCCCUCGAGGAGUACAGCAGGCUAAAUCAUCUGGCCAGUGGACUUAGUGCUUCUUUCACACUGUUAUCUUGUCACAUCUAAGGGCUGUCUUUUUGGCUCGCCCAAGCCUUGGUGCCGGCUUAACUGGUAGCGUUCCCUGCUGCAUCCGGAAGUGUGUGCUAGCCAGAUACAGCUGAUCCUUCCAAGAUAAUAUUUUGUUAGAAGAAGCCUGUUUUUGCUGCUACAUUUUAUGCAAGGAAACUUUAUGGGACAGCCUUGGAGUUUGUGUUUUGAAACUCUGUAUUCUGUGCUUGUACAGAUAUUGAUCAUUAUGGAGGAUGAUACCUCUGCAAACGUCACUGCCCAGGAUCCUGCAGAAAAUAUUUCAAGCCCUGAACCUCUGCCUACCUGUUCCCUCUGUGAAAACCUUUGCUGGCAGAAGAAAAAGUUAUGUAGUACUUGUAUUGGGUAAAUAUAUGGUGGAAGUUUCUCUCCCCCUUUUGCAUCUGAGCAAACACCUAGCUGUUCUUAUGACCCUGAACCUGAACAUGUUUCUGAUGGGGAAAUUGUUUCUGAUGUUUCAUCACCUGCACCCUUUCAUUCCUCAUCUUUGGUUGAAUUUAUUAAAUGCUUAAGAGAAAGUUUGGAUAUUGAGGAUCAACAGCCACAGAGUUAGAUGCUGCCAUUGCAAGGUUAUCUAAAAAUAUGAUUUUUCCUACAGAUGACACUGGUAAUUUUAAAGAUGCUAUGGAUAAAUAGAUGGAUUAAAAUUUAAAGAGACUUUUUAAACAACAGGGAGCUGUAUUUCAUCCUCUCUUAGCCAUGUUUUAUGCUCUUAAAGCAUCUGAGGUUUGGUGUCAAAAUAUGUCUCAAUCCAUACCUGAAGAUAUAAAUAUUUUGCCUUUUAUUUCAGAUAUAAAGAAGGUAACUGAAAUAAAUAUAUUUCUUAGUGUC